rnacentral:misc_RNA from 1 species
GGAUCUCUUCUUAGCUUGUGGGUUCUUCAGAAAAUUUACAUGUAUUUCAGAGGGCAUAAAGGAGACAAUUAAGGUUCCGUGAUCCAAAUUCAGAUUUUAGGUAUUGCUGUGCCUUGUUGUGGUUUCGGUAUAUUCUUAUCAUGUCAAUUCUUGUUGUGAUGAUUGUUUCAAGUUUAUACAAUUAGACUGCUUAGUGUAAUAUAGGAAUUAAUCUAUUCAACUUCAACAUGAAGAUUUGUUAUCGUUAAUUUUGUUAUUAUGUAAUAUUGCAUUGUAGCAAUAAAGUUUUUUUAAAGUUCUUGGAGGUUGGAGCUUCUGUUGAAUUGCAGUGUCAAGUAUCCAUUGCAAAAAUACGGAGUAGUUUUAAGCACCUAAGACCUGAAUUUCUACCUGCCUGCCAUCCAAGGCGUUGAUCAUAAUUUAUUAAGAUACAUGGUUUUUAAGCAGGCAGGAUCCUUGUGUUGUUUUCAAGGAACUGUGGAAUUAAAGGCCUUAAGUCAGAAAUUUCUAAUUUGAUCCAAUUAAAACUACUUGUAUCUUAUGGAUGUGAUUCAGAUUUAAUUUAGUAGUUAUAAAUAUUAUAUACUUUCUAUGGAUUAUUUAAUUUCAAUAAUAUAUGCAUUUUAAUUAUGUUGGUGAAAUUGGUUGGAUCUAGUCAUAUGUAAUGUCCAUAUAUUUGGUUUUCAUUCGACUGGAUUUUUAAAUGUUUUUAAACAGUCGGUUAAUGACAGUUAUUAAUAAAUAUCACCGUCAAAUGUUCAACAUAGAGAGGCAAAGCUUAUCAUUGUUUUGCAGUCAACCAUUAGCUGAUUCAUUAAUUCUGUAUUUCCUAUCUUAUUGCCUUAAUCUGUCUGAUUGUCUAAGAAAUUUGAAACUUGUCCUG